rnacentral:rRNA from 1 species
AGCGAACGCUGGCGGCAGGCCUGACACAUGCAAGUCGAGCGCCGUAGCAAUACGGAGCGGCAGACGGGAGAGUAACACGUGGGAACGUGCCCUUUGGUUCGGAACAACCCAGGGAAACUUGGGCUAAUACCGGAUAAGCCCCUACGGGGAAAGAUUUAUCGCCGAAGGAUCGGCCCGCGUCUGAUUAGCUAGUUGGUGGGGUAAUGGCCCACCAAGGCGACGAUCAGUAGCUGGCCUGAGAGGAUGAUCAGCCUCACUGGGACUGAGACACGGCCCAGACUGCUACGAGAGGCAGCAGUGGGGAAUAUUGGACAGUGGGCGCAAGCCUGAUCCAGCCAUGCCGCGUGGGUGAUGAAGGCCCUAGGGUUGUAAAGCCCUUUCGGCGGUGAAGAUAAUGACGGUACCCGCAGAAGAAGCCCCGGCUAACUUCGUGCCAGCCGCCGCCGUAA